CGGCUUACAUAGCGUCCCUUGAUCCAAACAGGCCUAAGAAGAAAAAGCAGCAAACAGUUGCUGCACAAGGUAAUUAUAUGAUAACACCUUGUAAUUUUUCUAUUUAUGAUUCUACUGCUUGGGUAUUGGAUACCGGAAGUCCAAUUAAUAUUUGCAAUUCAUUGCAGGGACUUCAAGUUAGUAGAAGAUUCAAGAGUGGCGAAAGAUUUCUGAACGUUGGAGAUGGAAGAUCAGUUCCAGUCCUAGCUUUAGGAGUCAUUGAGCUUGUUUUUGAAUCUAGAGUAGUCAUAUUAGAUGAUUGUCAUUAUUGU
rnacentral:lncRNA from 1 species